GAGGCACUCCAGAGCAUUUUCAAAGACGAGUUUGCGGCGCAAUGAGCCUUGAGAAAGCCUACAAUAUCCUCACAUUCAACUGCCUGCAUUUCGCCUUAUGGCUUCUGGGGGACGAAGGUCAAAACAAAAUUGACCAUACAGUCCAGUAAUUGCAGGAACUAUGGUAAAGGAUGUCCACAUGAACCAGAAAUCCAUUUGAACUUUAUGGAUGAAGAGCUUCAGAGGAGCAGCAGAGGUGGGCACCUGCGGCCUAACAGAUUUUGGGAACACUGUGAUGAAUGGAAAUGAAAUAUAUGACGAUUGAAAACUCAUGAAAACGCAAGAUCUGGACAUUUUA